AGUCGCACCUGGCUCAGAAGGCAGCCAUGAUCACUAAGGUGGUUGCCUUCAGGGUGAAGGCCGCUCCAUUGCACUAAGGAUGGGCUGACCCCAUGCGAUUAAUCAAAUGUGAUUAACUCGGGAGUACAAUGUUGGUAGUGGGGACUGCGUUCGCGCCGUCCCUG